rnacentral:rRNA from 1 species
GACGGAGGGUGCUAGCGUUGUUCGGAAUUACUGGGCGUAAAGGGCGCGUAGGCAGCUACGGCAGUCGGGUGUGAAAGCCCGGGGCUCAACCCCGGAACUGCAUCCGAUACUCUGUGGCUAGAGACCGGAAGAGGUGGGUGGAAUACCCAGUGUAGAGGUGAAAUUCGUAGAUAUUGGGUGGAACACCGGUGGCGAAAGCGGCUCACUGGUCCGGUUCUGACGCUGAGGCGCGAAAGCGUGGGGAGCAAACAGG